UUGGGGAAUGCUGUAUUACUACAUAGUUUUCAGACCAGACAGCCAUGUACCUUUAAGACAGUUACAUGACAUCCUGACUAUUGUGGUAUGUCUCAGUGUCACGACAACAGAUCAGAACCCUAAGUACUUGUUAAAUGACAUAUGACCAAAAGAUGAAUGCAGGUGUAAAUUCAGUAACUGACAGAGGAACACUGGAAUGUCAUACCUGAAGCUGCUAAGGGCACUUAAAGCAACAAAGCUUCAAAAGGGAGAUGGGCACGUAAAAAAAAAACUGUGAAUUCCCUAUGUCUACAGAUAUAGAGGGGUUGACUAACCCUACUUUUGGCAGUGUGGCACUUCCUGUGAAUUAUGUCCCAAACUUCAGACAUAUUUGAAUGUUCCCCUUUCAAGAAUACACAAGAAUGAGAAUUAAAAGCUAGUUUCCACCUUGUCUCUUUGUUCCAGUAGGUGAAGAUGUCUGUUAUGAGGGUCAUAGCUGUGAAAAUCCCUAGUCACUCCUGAGCUACACCUCGGUGAAUAUCGGGUAGAUGACAGCUGUGGACUUCAAAGCAUUCAGGAAAUAAGGAGGACCAAUGGCUGAAGAUGACAUCGGCUCACUUCAGUACAGGCAUGUCUGUCCCUCUUCUUCGUGACCUAUAGUGCUGACCUAACCAGAGAUAUUCCCCAAAACUGAUGGUGCCUGAAAUGUGCCUCUAACUUUAAAUAGGUUUCUCAAUGGAAACACAGACAAAUAUUGAGGUUGUUGAAGUUGGUUGGCUCGUCGAGCUGGUUUCUUGUUUCGCAGACGUUUCGUUACCAUGCUUGGUAACAUCCUCAGUGCAGCCUCCG